rnacentral:rRNA from 1 species
GUACACGCUGUGACUAGCAUAUCAAUAAGCGGAGGAAAAGAAACUAACAAGGAUUCCCCUAGUAACGGCGAGUGAAGCGGGAAGAGCUCAAAUUUGAAAUCUUAAAGGGUUUCCCUUUACGAAUUGUAGUUUAAAGAAGUGUUUUCUGUUGAGGUUUUGGUAAAAGUUCUUUGGAAUAGGACAUCAUAGAGGGUGAGAAUCCCGUAUUUGACCUUUACUUUCAACUUUGUGAUACACUUUCAAAGAGUCGGAUUGUUUGGGAAUGCGGUCCAAAAUGGGUGGUAAAUUUCAUCUAAAGCUAAAUAUUGGCGAGAGACCGAUAGCGAACAAGUACCGUGAGGGAAAGAUGAAAAGAACUUUGAAAAGAGAGUUAAACAGUACGUGAAAUUGUCAAAAGGGAAGCGUUUGACACCAGUGUUGUUUUUCUGAAAAUCAAUUAAAGAACUGUUUAUGCUAAGUUGUUUAGACUUUAUCAGCUAACUGUUUAGUUUUGAGCUUUUCUUUAAUGCACUUUUCAGUUAACAAGUCAACAUCAAUUUCUUUUGCUGUAAAAAGGCUUGAGGAAGGUGGCUUGAGAUUCGUCUUAAGUGUUUAUAGCCUCUUGCCUAUGCAGUCGGAGAGAUUGAGGUCUGCAGCGUAGAUCCUUCGGGGCUAAAUGCAUUUGUGCUAAGUUAUAGCAUUUUAUAGACAACUUGUUGACUAUGAUUUGUCUUGUAGCUUACUCGCUUAUGUUAUUUUACCUACGCUUAGGAUGUUGAUAUGCAUGACUGAUAU